rnacentral:rRNA from 1 species
UACGUAGGGUGCAAGCGUUGUCCGGAAUUAUUGGGCGUAAAGGGCUCGUAGGCGGUCUGUCACGUCGGGAGUGAAAACUCGGGGCUUAACCCCGAGCCUGCUUCCGAUACGGGCAGACUAGAGGUAUGCAGGGGAGAAUGGAAUUCCUGGUGUAGCGGUGAAAUGCGCAGAUAUCAGGAGGAACACCGGUGGCGAAGGCGGGUCUCUGGGCCGAUACUGACGCUGAGGAGCGAAAGCGUGGGGAGCGAACAGG